rnacentral:rRNA from 1 species
UACGUAGGGUGCGAGCGUUGUCCGGAAUUAUUGGGCGUAAAGGGCUCGUAGGCGGUUUGUCGCGUCGGGAGUGAAAACCAUGGGCUUAACUCAUGGCUUGCUUCCGAUGACGGGCAGACUAGAGGUAUGCAGGGGAGAACGGAAUUCCUGGUGUAGCGGUGAAAUGCGCAGAUAUCAGGAGGAACACCGGUGGCGAAGGCGGUUCUCUGGGCAUUACCUGACGCUGAGGAGCGAAAGUGUGGGGAGCGAACAGG